CUGCUGGUAAAGGUCAUUACGUAUUACUUUACUUACCGGAGGAAAAGAAACCAACAGGGAUUGCCCCAGUAACGGCGAGUGAAGCGGAACAGCUCAAAUUUGAAAUCUGGCCCCCCGGGGCCCGAGUUGUAAUUUGUAGAGGAUGCUUUUGGCGAGGCGCCUUCCGAGUUCCCUGGAACGGGACGCCAUAGAGGGUGAGAGCCCCGUCUGGUCGGACGCCGAGCCUCUGUAAAGCUCCUUCGACGAGUCGAGUAGUUUGGGAAUGCUGCUCUAAAUGGGAGGUACUUGUCUUCUAAAGCUAAAUACCGGCCAGAGACCGAUAGCGCACAAGUAGAGUGAUCGAAAGAUGAAAAGCACUUUGAAAAGAGGGUUAAACAGUACGUGAAAUUGUUGAAAGGGAAGCGCCUGUGACCAGACUUGCGCCCGUCGGAUCACCCAGCGUUCUCGCUGGUGCACUCCGGCGGGCGCAGGCCAGCAUCAGCUCGUCUCGGGGGACAAAGGCGGCGGGAACGUGGCUCCUCCGGGAGUGUUAUAGCCCGCCGCGCAAUGCCCUGGGGCGGGCUGAGGACCGCGCGUAAGCAUGGAUGCUGGCGUAAUGGUCAUCAGCGACCCGUCUUGAAACACGGACCAAGGAGUCGUCUUCGUAUGCGAGUGUUCGGGUGUCAAACCCCUACGCGUAAUGAAAGUGAACGCAGGUGAGAGCUUCGGCGCAUCAUCGACCGAUCCUGAUGUUCUCGGAUGGAUUUGAGUAGGAGCAUACGGGGCCGGACCCGAAAGAAGGUGAACUAUGCCUGUGUAGGGUGAAGCCAGAGGAAACUCUGGUGGAGGCUCGCAGCGGUUCUGACGUGCAAAUCGAUCGUCAAACAUGGGCAUGGGGGCGAAAGACUAAUCGAACCUUCUAGUAGCUGGUUUCCGCCGAAGUUUCCCUCAGGAUAGCAGUGUUGAUCUCAGCUUUAUGAGGUAAAGCGAAUGAUUAGGGACCCGGGGG
rnacentral:rRNA from 1 species